GAUGAACGCUGGCGGCGUGCCUAAUACAUGCAAGUCGAACGAAUCUUCUUCGGAAGAUGAGUGGCGAACGGGUGAGUAAUACAUAGGUAACCUGCCCCUGUGCGGGGGAUAACAGGAGGAAACUCCUGCUAAUAUCGCAUAGCCAUGAGCACCGCAUGGAGCUCAUGCCAAAUAUCCUUUAUGGGAUAGCGCAGGGAUGGACCUAUGGCGCAUUAGCUGGUUGGCGGGGCAACGGCCCACCAAGGCAACGAUGCGUAGCCGGCCUGAGAGGGCGGACGGCCACAUUGGGACUGAGACACGGCCCAGACUCCUACGGGAGGCAGCAGUAGGGAAUUUUCGGCAAUGGGGGAAACCCUGACCGAGCAACGCCGCGUGAGCGAAGAAGGCCUUCGGGUCGUAAAGCUCUGUUGUAAGGGAAGAACGGCGCAUACAGGAAAUGGUAUGCGAGUGACGGUACUUUACCAGAAAGCCACGGCUAACUACGUGCCAGCCGCCGCCGUAA
rnacentral:rRNA from 1 species